AACGAACGCUGGCAGCAUGCCUAACACAUGCAAGUCGAACGAGACCUUCGGGUCUAGUGGCGCUCGGGUGCGUAACGCGUGGGAACCUGCCCUUAGGUUCGGAAUAACUCCCCGAAAGGGGUGCUAAUACCGGAUAAUGUCUUCGGACCAAAGAUUUAUCGCCUUUGGAUGGGCCCGCGUUGGAUUAGCUAGUUGGUAGGGUAAAAGCCUACCAAGGCGACGAUCCAUAGCUGGUCUGAGAGGAUGAUCAGCCACACUGGGACUGAGACACGGCCCAGACUCCUACGGGAGGCAGCAGUGGGGAAUAUUGGACAAUGGGCGAAAGCCUGAUCCAGCAAUGCCGCGUGAGUGAUGAAGGCCUUAGGGUUGUAAAGCUCUUUUACCCGGGAUGAUAAUGACAGUACCGGGAGAAUAAGCUCCGGCUAACUCCGUG
rnacentral:rRNA from 1 species